CAGCCCGUUUUUUCCACUUUAAAUAACGACUUCCACUGGGGAGGAAUCUUUUGGGCGUGAUGUUUGUGAUGGAAGGGCCCUAGCUGUGCGGGUUGAGGGCUGGGGGGGGGGGCGGUUCAGAACUUUGCCUGGACUGGGAUAGUGGGAGGACCUGAAAGGAAGGAAUAAAAGUCGUUUCGUUGGGUGAUGCCCAGUUGACGGGCAGCCACGGAGGCCCUCGCCCGGAAAAGCAAAGAGAUAGAUGUGUGCUUGUUUACGGCCAAGACAGGGAGAGGCGAAGGAGUAGGCGCAAUAUAGGAUGGGAGGAGGUGUUGGAGAAAGAGAAUGGAGAGGAGGGUUCCUGGCUUCUGUUGUGGCGUCUUUUCUAUUUGACUUCAUGGUUCCUUUCUACGUAAGAUGUCCUGGUGCUCCGGCUAGUAAACGACCUCAGGCAAGAGGAACAGCGGCUCCUCGCGUCCUACCCAAGGAUGGUCCAGAAAGCCCAGGCGUCGGGGUCGCCAUCUCGCCUCCUCUGCUGAGAGCUGCAGAUCAGUUCACGUUGACAGAUAGGAGAGGAAAAGUGCAAAUGUUAUGGGUAAGUGUUGCUUGGGGGGGGGGGGCUGAUUCCGCUGUCUUCCUCCU
rnacentral:lncRNA from 1 species